UACGUAGGUGCGAGCGUUGUCCGGAAUUAUUGGGCGUAAAGGGCUCGUAGGCGGUUUGUCGCGUCGGGAGUGAAAACCAUGGGCUUAACUCAUGGCUUGCUUUCGAUAUGGGCAGACUAGAGGUAUGCAGGGGAGAACGGAAUUCCUGGUGUAGCGGUGAAAUGCGCAGAUAUCAGGAGAACACCGGUGGCGAAGGCGGUUCUCUGGGCAUGAUCUGACGUGAGGAGCGAAAGUGUGGGGAGCGAACAGGAUUAGAACCGU
rnacentral:rRNA from 1 species